CCUGGCGUUUCGGGUCACGUACAUCCGAGGGUCG
rnacentral:rRNA from 3 species